UUUUAUCUUCAUACUCUUGUAAGUUAGGUUGGGGGAAGUUAGGUUUUGGCAAAAAAAAUUGCAAAAAAAUAUCCUCUCACUAAAAAAAACCUUAACCCGACGGAGAAGCCCGCCUCGCCCCGCCAAAGCCCGCGGUUUAAGCGGUGCGGGUUAGGCGAGCUUUUGCUAUUUGGCGGUCCCGAUUUUUCAGCCCAACCCGCCUUUUUUGGCGGGUUACGCGGGCCGCCCCGGCGGGUUUAGGCCCGUUUGCCACCACUUCUGUAAGUGAAACUUCUUUUGGACUAUUUACUAUUACGCUGUUGAUGUUUUAAUGUUUUAUCCUAUUGUUGGCCCUUGGGGCGCUUAAUGCAAACAAUUGAUGUAUGCAUUCAGAUUUCUGUUGGAUGACACAACUUAUUUUUAUUUUUUCUUUUUGUUAAUUUUUCAUAAUUAUAAUUUUUUUCAUCUCAAAUUUUUUGAAUGAAAAAAAAUGUGAAUAAAUUAGAUUUUCAUAAUUUAUUCUAGUUUAUUACAAAAUAGCAUAUAAGAACACAAAAUUGUGUGUCUCUGUCCUUUUAUGUCUUGUUCUUAAUGUCUUAUUCUUAGAAACAAACGCAGCCUUGAUGUAUGCAUUCAGAUUUCUGUUGGAGGACUUUCUGAGUUUACUGGCGAUCAUUCUAAUUCAAAGAAGGCUCAGAUUGAAGACUGGCAAAGACCAAUCCUUCAAGACAAAAAAGGACUUCCUGAGUGGUACCCUACAACUCUUCUGAAUUUAUGUUUACCCUUCUGAAUGAGCUUUACUAUCUCAAUUCUGGAUUCACAAUUUGGACAGAUGGUUCAGGUCCAGUGCAUAGUUCAGCUAGCUUAGGGGAAAGAAAAUUUUCGCUGGAUGGGUUCAUAUAUGAUUUAGAGAGUCCGAAUUAGUUUAAAAUAUAUUAAUUAAACAGAUAUGUAAAAUUUUUUUAAAAGUAUUUUAUCCAUAAAAAUUAGUUAUAAAAUAUUUCUAUGUAAUUUUAUACUUUUAUGAUUAUUUUUUUUCAUAUUUUAUUUGGUUGUCACUAAAAAAAGAGUUGAGAGUUAAUACAAGAAGAGUUUGACACUCAUUAGAUUAUAGACAAAGUAUCUGACACUAAUUAUUGUUAAGUAUUUUCAACAAUGACCCUAUUCACAGGAAUCACUCCUCUAUAUGGUCCUAGCCUUCAAUAUGCAGGGCCUGCAUCUCUUGUAUGGGGAUGGGUGGUGGUUUCUUUCUUCACUUGGUUUGUUGAGAUUGCAAUGGCUGAAACUUGUUCAUCUUUCCCGGUGUGUAACUUCAUUCUUCAAUUUGGUAUUAUUUCUGUCUUGUAAUGAAUGAUAUAGCAUCUUGGA